UUCUCCACUAGGCGAAUUUAUUCGCGCGAACAGAUAAAAAGUAGGAAGCGAUCCUACUUUUUCGCCGCGAAUUUUUUCGCCGACCAAUCACGUUGCCGGAUUUCAGUUUUCGCUUCGCGUCGCGCGAACAAAUUCGCGUAGUGGAGAACGGGCUUUACGGUUUUGUAAUGGAAGUUACACUUCUGUAUGUCUUUAUUCUGUGGUUGAGGCAUCCAACCACGCCAUCAAUCCCAGUAAAAACAUUAGGUCACGUCAGCUAGUUUCCUAUCCAUUUAUUUUAUUAUCCAUGGUCUCGUUGAGGAGUGUGUAGAAAGAAUUACGAAUUUGCCAUCUUCGCUAUUUCUUCAAGCGGCAUCUAUAGACGUCAUAGUUACGUGUGACGUCAUCAUUUCCUCACAGUCACUUUAUGAUAUGCUCCUUUCUCAAAGUUCGUAUCAAUUUGCCAGAAUUAGUAAUCCAUUUUUCAAUCGUGUUCAACCUUGUAUAAUUUAUUAAUCAUACUCGAAUACGUUUGGA